UACAGAGGUCUCAAGCGUUGUUCGGAUUCAUUGGGCGUAAAGGGUGCGUAGGCGGUCCACUAAGUCGGGUGUGAAAGCCCUGGGCUCAACCCAGGAAGUGCACUCGAAACUGGCGGGCUAGAGUAUCGGAGAGGUUGGUGGAAUUCUCGGUGUAGAGGUGAAAUUCGUAGAUAUCGAGAGGAACACCGGUGGCGAAGGCGGCCAACUGGACGAAUACUGACGCUGAGACACGAAAGCGUGGGGAGCAAACAGG
rnacentral:rRNA from 1 species